CUACGGGAGGCAGCAGUGAGGAAUUUUGCGCAAUGGGGGAAACCCUGACGCAGCAACGCCGCGUGAGUGAAGAAGGCCCUUGGGUCGUAAAGCUCUGUCAAUGGGGAAGAAGUUAUUAUGUGUUAAUAGCACAUUUUAUUGACGGUACCCAUGAAGGAAGCACCGGCUAACUCCGUGCCAGCAGCCGCGGUAAUACGGGGGUGCAAGCGUUUUUCGGAAUUAUUGGGCGUAAAGGGCACGCAGGCGGUCCUGUCAGUCAGAUGUGAAAGCCCGGGGCUCAACCCCGGACGUGCAUUUGAAACAGCAGGACUUGAGUACGGGAGAGGAAAGGGGAAUUCCUGGUGUAGAGGUGAAAUUCGUAGAUAUCAGGAGGAACACCGGUGGCGAAGGCGCCUUUCUGGACCGAUACUGACGCUGAGGUGCGAAGGCGUGGGUAGCGAACGGGAUUAGAUACCCCAGUAGUC
rnacentral:rRNA from 1 species